AGGACGGGGCACUGCUUGUCAUCUAAAAGCCACUUAACUGCACUACAACGUGAUGUCAUGCUGCUCUACAUGCGCGUCGAUAUUUAUGCUCCGUCUGUUGGGAAACAGCCCUGAAUACAGCGAGCCGAGCGGAGCGUUCUGUAACAUUAUGCUGGGAUAAGGCAGCCUGAUUCACCGUGGGGAAGGACACUCCCUCCGGAGCAAAGCAUUUGCUGUCGUCCCUCCGGCGUGGCAGCACCAGCACUGGAGCUGCUGGGCCAGGGUAGAACCGACAGCAGCACAGGACGGAGGGGGCAGAACUCCCAACCCAGGGCCAGCAGCAGUGUGAGCAGCAGGAGGAUGAGGAUGCUGCUGGGUCCCCACCACGCUGAGAGCACAACGGGAGCCCCCUGAAGCACGGGACAUGGCGCGGAGGUGAACUUUC
rnacentral:lncRNA from 1 species